rnacentral:rRNA from 1 species
CGAGCGGCGGACGGGUGAGUAACAUAUCGGAACAUACCCAAUCGUGGGGGAUAACACAGCGAAAGUUGUGCUAAUACCGCAUACGUCCUGAGGGAGAAAGCGGGGGAUCGCAAGACCUCGCGCGAUUGGAGUGGCCGAUAUCAGAUUAGCUAGUUGGUGAGGUAAAGGCUCACCAAGGCGACGAUCUGUAGCUGGUCUGAGAGGACGACCAGCCACACUGGAACUGAGACACGGUCCAGACUCC